GGGGUCAAAUAAUAUUGGCCUCAAAUUAGCUCCAUACACCUCUACUUUCCUGCCCGCCGUGGGAGACCAGAAACUGAGCACAUCGAGCAGCCGUUAAUCCGCGCGUUUUUUUUUCUUCUGCCGUAAUUCGAUUAAGGUGCUGCGAUCUCCGCGUUUGCCGCUCUCUGCCUCCUGCGGUAAAGGCGAGGAUACUUUAAGACAAAACCUCCCGCCCUGAGUCCGCAUCGUCCCCCUCCACCUCCCCAUCUCCUCCUCCUUUAUUCCUUCAGCUAAUGUCGCCUCCUUCUCUCUCUCUCUCCGCCUCACUGUGUAGUUGGAGGAGCAGCAGAGAGCAGCUUUCACUGUUGCUCCUCCUCGCUCCUUCGGAGCUCUGAGACUUAGAAUAAAGAAGACUUCUGAGGACGAUUUUUCCCCUCUUUUUUUCUUUUUUGCUCCUUUUGACUUCAAACCAAUGUCACCUCAUCUGUGAACGAAGCGGUUUUUACGAGGAAUAUACUGAACCCCCUCUUCCCGAGAAAAGAAAAGAGACUCAGAAGAAGAAGUGGAUGAGUUGUGUGGAUGUUAAGUCUUGGAUUUUGUGGUUUAUUUUUUCUUUUUUCCGCGGCCCAGAGACAGCAACAGUGUGUGGAAAAGUAGAUUUGCAUGUUCAACAUAUGGCUUCGGCGAGGAUAACACGCUGGGUGCUUGGUGAAGCGUGGUGGUGAAGAUGGUAAAAGAGCGCUUAAUGGGGCCACAGUCACGGGGCCAGGUCAGAUGGAUGAAUCUAACAGGAGCGGGAGUUCUUUAUCUUCUGCUGCUGCUGUCAGCGUGUGUCGGCCAGGAGACUGAAGAUUGGCAAUAUGAGGAAUGUAAACUUUCUCGAUCGGGUCCUCCUGCAACCAUCGUGGCCAUAGAUGAAGAAAGUCCAAACGGAACACUGCUGGUGGAGAACAUGCAGAUAAAUGGUGUGGCCGAGGGUCCAAAUCGAACAAUCUCCCUGUCGCUAAAGGAAAACAAAGACUACUGGGUGAUUCUGGACCCUGCCAAACAGGCUCUUUACCUGAACAGCACCGGGCGGGUUCUGGACAGAGACCCUCCGUCAUACAUUCACUCCAUUGUGGUCCAGGUCCAGUGUACCAACGAACUGAUUGGCACCGUGAUUUUACACGAAGUCCGUAUUGUUGUUCGCGACCGCAACGACAACGUGCCCCGUUUCCAGCAGCCAAGAUAUUACGUCUCCAUUAGUGAGCUCACUCCUGUAGGAACGACCAUCUUCUCCGGGUUUUCCGGAAACAACGGAGCAACAGACAUUGAUGACGGUCCCAAUGGGCAGAUAGAGUACACUAUCCAGUACAACCCCAAAGACCCAACCGCCAACAGAACAUUUGACAUCCCGUUAACAUUAUUUGGGUCUGUAGUGCUCAGAGAAAGACUCAACUACGAAGAAAUAACGCGAUACCUGGUUAUCAUACAAGCAAAUGACCGAGCCCCUUAUCCAAGUGAUCGCCUUUCCGCCACCACAACACUCACAGUAGACGUCCUGGAUGGGGACGACCUGGGCCCCAUGUUCCUGCCCUGCACACUCGUAGGAAACACCCGAGACUGUAGUCCCAUCACCUAUAAGGCCAAUGUGCUUGAAGUGACUGAGCCGGAUAAGGUGAACCCCCUCAAUGUGACUCCACCCAUUCAAGCAGUGGACCAGGACAGAAACAUUCAACCUCCAUCUGACAGGCCGGGAAUCCUGUACUCCAUCCUCAUCGGAAAACCAGGUUCUUAUGCCGAGUACUUCAGCCUGAACAGAACCUCAGCAGAACUGCUGCUGCUCAAACCCAUCGACCGAGAACUCUAUCGCAGGUUUGACCUGGUCAUUAAGGCCGAGCAAGACAACGGCCACCCCUUGCCAGCUUUCGCCAAUCUCCAAAUUGAGGUUCUGGAUAAAAACAAUCAGGCGCCCUACUUCCUGGAGACCAGUUACCAUGGAUACAUCAGCGAAGCAUCACCUGUAGGAACCACAAUAGCAAGUAACUCCAGCCUGUCUGCUCCUCUUGUCAUCAUAGGUCUGGAUAACGAUGUAGAGGAGACUCGAGAUCCUCAGCUCCAGUUCUCUCUGGACAGCUACGCCGACGUCUUCUCUGUGUCCGCCUCUGGAAUCAGAAGAUAUCUGACGCUGGUGCAGCCUGUUGACCGAGAGACACAGGACUCCUACACGUUCACGCUUCUGGCAUCUGAUGGCGUGCAGCAGAGUGCUCCCGUCACAGUCACCGUUUCAGUGCUGGACGCUAACGACAACACGCCGACCUUUUCCAACGUCUCGUACAGCAUCAACCUGUUCACCAACAUGCUGCCAGGGGAAACUGUGUUACAGCUGACUGCAGUUGAUCCAGACGCGGGUCAGAACGGUGAAGUCACCUAUCGGAUCCUGGCCGGUGAUCUGGGGAAGUUUCAUUUAGACAGCAGCAGUGGGAUCAUCACAGUGGCUCCAGGAGUCCAGCUGACCGUUGGACAAAGAUACGCUCUGACAGUAGAAGCCAUGGACAACGGGCCGCUGCCUCACAGACGGUCAUCCAUUACGACAGUCUAUGUGGAAGUUUUGCCCCCAAACAACCAGAGCCCUCCCCGUUUCCCACGGCAACAAUACAACCUGGAGAUCAGUGAAGCUAUGAGGACGGAAGCCACGCUGCUGAACUUGCAGGCAGUGGAUCGUGAAAUGGACCCCAUAACCUAUAAAAUCCACAGUGGAGAUGUCACUGGAAGUUUCACUCUGCAGCAGAACUCUGGGUCUUUGGUUCUGAGCAGUCCCCUGGACAGAGAGUCUCUGGAUUACUAUUCUCUGGUGGUCACAGCUUCAGACGGACACCCAGAUGGAACUUCUACCGCAACAGUGAACAUCGCGGUGACCGAUGUCAACGACAACGAUCCAGUUUUCAGUUCGUCACUGCCGGUGAACCUCAGCGUCACAGAGGAGGAGAAUCACGCUUUUGUUGGACAGGUCAAGGCAACCGAUCCAGAUCUGGGGGCAAACGGUCAGGUCCAUUAUCAGCUCAUCAACCACCAGACGCUGUUUUCCAUCAACGCCAGCGGCUUCAUCACCACUGCAGCGCCUCUGGACAGAGAGGUGAAAGGCCACUAUCGCCUCAUGGUGGAAGCCUCGGAUGGAGCGGUGGACCCGCGGCGAUCCAGGCUGACGCUCAAUGUCACCGUUCUGGACGUGGAUGACAACAGCCCUGUUUUCUCCCAGCAAUCUUACAGCGUUAAUCUGCCCGAGAACAGCCCGGAAGAUACUGUCAUUCUGCAAUUAAAGGCCACAGACCCGGACCUCGACUCCAACCUCACAUAUCGAAUCGGAACUGAAAGCCUGGAUCCUGAAAUAACGAAGCUGUUCCGCGUCCACCCCAUUACCGGGGAGCUGGCGGUUCUCAGAGUUCUGGACUUUGAAGCUCUGAACAAAUCCGACGCCACGUUUACGUUCACCGUUGAGGCCGUCGACACGGAGGGAGCCAUGCCGCCUGGACUGGCGUCUGUUGCUGUCAGAGUAAUGGACAUGAAUGACUUUUCUCCAGAGUUCAGCCAGUCGCUGUAUCGAGGAAUGGUCGCCCCCAACGCUGUCAAGGGAACCAUCGUGACCACGGUGCUGGCCAGUGACGCUGACCCUGCGGGUACCCCCGCAGGUCUGGUGAACUACAAAGUGGAUCAGCAAACACAGUCUUAUUCGGCCACUAUAUUUGAAGUGGAAAAAGAGACGGGACAUGUGAUCACCAGAGUCAACCUCAAUGAGGAGCCCAACCUGAAGUUCAGCUUGGUGGUGGUGGCCUACGAUCACGGAGAGCCUGUGAAGGAGAACACCGCCCUGGUGGAAAUUACAGUCCUUCAGCCCUCGGUUAUUCCCGUCUUCACUCAAGAAGAGUACAGGUUUCCACCAGUGAGUGAGGAGGCUGCUGUUGGAACCCUGGUGGGGGCGAUUAAAGCUGCAGCUGUCAAUCAAACCAUCGUAUAUUCCAUCGUCGACGGCAACCAGGGAAAUAUCUUCACGCUGAAUGAAACAUCAGGAGAGAUUUCAACAGCCAAGGCUUUGGACUAUGAGACCAAAGCAACAUACGUCCUAAAGGUGGAGGCUGACUCCUCUUUUAACCUCAGAGCUCCCUCGAAGACUAACACAGCCAAGGUGGUGAUUGAUGUCCAGGACGAGAAUGACCACCCACCAGUGUUCACCAAACCUCUCUACAUUGGAGGAGUUGCAGAAAAUGCCAAGACCUUCACCUCCGUCCUGCGAGUUCAGGCUUUGGAUGAAGACACUGGUAACUACAGUGCCAUGAUGUACCGGCUGAUCAUCCCCCCUCCUGCAGGCAAAGACACCAAAGACAGCAAAGACGGCUUCGUCAUCGAGCCGUACAGCGGCGUGCUGAAGACGGCCAUCAUGUACCGCAACAUGAGGAGGUCCUACUUUAAGUUUGAAGUGGUUGCCACUGACAACUACGGUCAAGGCCACAGCAGCAAGGCAGAGAUAGUGGUGUCAGUUGUGAACCAGCUGGACAUGCAGGUGGUCGUGUCCAAUGUUCCUCCAACGUUUGUGGACAAAAACAAGGAGAAGCUGCUCAGCAUUUUGGAACGCUACGUCCAGGAGCAGAUACCGGGAGCAAAGGUUGUCAUGGAAACCAUAGGGCCUCAUCGGUACGGGGAAGGGAUGGAUCAGGAAGAUUACACCAAGUCUGACCUGAUGAUUUACGCCAUUGACCCGCUGACGAACAGAGCUGUGGCGACGCAGGAGCUUUACAAGUUCCUGGAUGGAAAGCUUCUGGACAUCAACAAAGAAUUCCAGCCUUUACUUCCUCCUGGUGGGCGAAUCCUGGAAAUCCGAACUCCUGAGUUAGUGACCAGCGUGAAGAAAGCCGUGCAGUCUGUGGGCUACACGGAGGGAGCGCUGCUGGCGCUGGCGGUCAUCAUCAUUAUUUGUUGUGUUCCCGCCAUUCUGAUCGUCAUUAUCACCUACAGACAAUUCAAAGAGCGCCAAGCAGAGUGUGCCAAAACAGCCCGUAUCCAGAUGGCCCUGCCAACAGGUAAACCUGGGGGAGGAGCUGCCAACAACUUGUACGAGGAACUGGGAGACAACGCCAUACGUGGAUUUGGGCAACAAGAGACACAACAGCUCCUCCGACCUUCUCUCCUCAGGCCGGAGGAAUUAUCAAUGGAAUCUGGCAUUGACCCCGGGCAGGAAUAUUACACACAGGAUUACUACAACUAUGAUCACGGGUAUGAGCUUCCUCAGUACGGCAGCCGCAGGAAGCUGAUCUCUCCGUCCGGCCUCUACGACGAAUAUGGAGAAGUGGUCGUCGACGACGACGGCAGCUACUACUACAGCCCCCAGGAGUCAGAGGGAGAGGUGAGGAGACAGUUUGCUGAGGACAGAUUAGCCCUGCACUCCUGGCACGCCAAGGCCGCCCCUCCCCCCGUCUCUCCCCCCGAGGGCGACGGCAACCAAACAAACACGAGUAAAGCUAAAGGCUUGAGCGCGGCGGCGAGGCUGAAGUCGGCGGUGAGAGCGGGCGUGGGUAAUACGGCCCUCCACCCCCCGUGGAGGAAAGCCAGAGUGGGGCCCGCCAAAGAGGAGGAGGAGGGGCGCACAGUAGGAGGAGGAGGAGGAGGAGGGGGAGGUUAUGAGUUUAGAAAACAAGAGAUAAGAAAAAAGUUGGGUGGAGAAAGAGGAGAAGAGCUGGGGAAAGGGGGAGGGAGAGAAGGGGAAACAUGGUGGAGGGGCGGGAUGAGAAGUGCCACCUGCGAAGCAAGAGACUACAGGGGGGUUCUGCCCGGCUUGCUGUCCCCUAUCCAGCCUUUCAGCCUGGACGGCGCCGUGGUCAUCGAUGGGAGUUAUUUCCAAACAUCCACCCAACCAAGCAAACCCCUUAAAGAAAAACUGAAAGACCACCUCGGUCUGGUGUCUUUUGCCCGGAGAGUCCAGGGCCCCGCCAGGGUGAGGGACGACCCCGAUGGCGGGCGGGGGCACGGCUCCGUUGGGGACAUGAGUGUUUCUGCGUCUGUUUCCGCCCGAGGAGACGCGGGGAGGAGGUGGAGCAAAGGAACACAGGACAGUGACAGCGAGACGGAGAACGGGGCGUCUCCGUCGGACCUCUCCGACCGGAGCAGCGCUGUGUCCUCGCUCACAGUGGACACUGAAGUCAACGACUCGAACGCCGAAGACAGCUCUGAAUCUGAAGACGAGCGGAGACGAGAACCCAAUCGAAAACACUCUAGAAGCACCGGAACCUAUCCGGGUUCUACGGUUGAAGACGACAGCGAGGAGGACUCCGAGGAGUCCCCGGACGGCGGGUGGAACCGAUCAAACGGCGCCCCCGAAGAUUUAUCCCCCAUCAUGGAGGACACGGAGGAGGACGAGGGGAGCAGCAGCCAGACCGAAGCAACACAUCAAGACGAUGAGGAAGAGGGGGAGUCGGGAAAGGAGUGUGCUGAUUGAGGCGCUGAUGAGCCUUUAGCCCCCUCUCGAGAUUAAAAUCUUUGCCACUAACACGGCAGUAGAAAACGCCGGAUCAAGCUGGUGGUUGAUCGAGAGUACGAGACCAGCUCCACCGGCGACGAGAGCCUCCCGGAGAGCCAGCGCGGCCGCGCCCCCGCCGCCCACAACAGCCUCAUCAACGGCAGC